AUUAAAUCCACUCUCAUAUUUACUCCACAGGGGAACCCAAGUGCAGUUCUUUGGCAAACUGUAUUUCAUGUUUGUUUAUGAACAUAUUGAAUUCAGUAACAGUGCUGAAUACAACAAAGAAUAGAGCAAAACAAACUUUAGGGAGUUCAUGCUGUAAUGGGAAGGAUCCCUGAGUAUCAAUGAGUCUGAAAGUAUUCUAUUUCUGCCAAGAGUAAAGUUGUAAAGCUUCGGGUGCCAACAGCUUCAAUUAAUCGAGAAUCAAGCAAAAGGAACUUGGGUGUCUUGACGAGCUCCGGGGACCAAAUUGUUUCCAUUGUCUCCUUUCAUAAGAUACAUUCCCCAUCAUUUGCAUGAGCCCUCUGCUCUGUCUAGUUUUAGUGUCAAUGGCUGGCAUCCCUCUAGGGGAUGUGCAGUGAAAUUGACAGAAACUGUGAUCGUGG
rnacentral:lncRNA from 1 species